rnacentral:lncRNA from 10 species
AGAUGGGGUUUCACCAUGUUGGCCAGGCUGGUCUCAAACUCCCGACCUCAUGUGAUCCACCCACGUCAGCCUCCCAAAGGUGUGACCCACCGCACCCGAACUGCGCUUGAUCUUUUGCCAAACUGCGCUUGAUCUUUUAACUCUUCUACUGGUACUGGUAGCAUAGGAUCUUAAAGGGUGGGGAGGAGAAGAAAGAAAAAGACCUAAGUCUUCCCGAGGCUCUUGGUUACGCAUCUGGGAAGAAGCACUGGCCCUCAGCAUGGUCGUCUCUGAGACUGGAUCCUUGCGGCUCUGAGCGUGCUGUGUGGAGCCGAUGCAUUGAUAUCUCCUGGGAACUUGCUAGAAAUGAGGGCUCUCAGGCCCCACCAGUCCUACUGAACCCAGCUCCUCAUGUUACAGGCUGCAGGGUGACUUGUGUACACGUUAAGUUUGAGAAACGCUGGACUGGUCCCUGUUAAAUCCAGAAGGGCUGUUGGUCUAAUGGCUGAGGGCCUCUCACUGGGAAGAGACAGGAAGAAGGCUGGCAGGGUAGGUGGUGAGGGACAGAGCCGUGUGUGUCCUGGGGCUGACUGCAGGGGUCAUUGGAAGAGCUGCAGCGAGAGGCUGAGGUUGCCGUGCAUCACAGAGUCCCUUCCCAGCAUGGAGGAGCCGGGCAGAGGGGUGCGCAUGGGCAGGGGGUGUGCCAGGAGAGGCAGGGGUGCAGGAGAGGCACCCGCAGGGUGCUGGGCACUCCAUGGUGGUCUCUACCCGCUCCCCCACUCACCAAUUGAUACCUCGUAAAAUUUACUACCUACUGUGACUGGAUUUUUUGAUAGAUGAAGGUUUUAAAUUUUACAGUUACUCACUUAUGCAAAUGUCCAUUGGAGACAAUGAGCUCCUUGAAGUAGUGAAGUGACAAAUGAUGAACCAGGGGAGCAGGAGGCAGAAGGUGCCUGAGGGCAGAGGCUGGGGAACGGGGAGGCUGACACCAGGGGCACAUGGUGGCCCCCAUCUAGUUACUUUUGAUUCUUCACAAUGUAGAAGCUGUGGCUUGGGAGGCUAGAGGCUGACUCCUGCACCUGCCUGUGCACCUGGAGCUUGAGGGAAUCCCAGCCCUCACUGCUUCCUGUGACAGAGCAGAGUGUGUGUUCUGAAGGUCAGAACUGGAGGUCAAGCCCAGGGUGAGCCCCUCUGUCUCUGUAACCGGAGGCAGGAUCCUCCGUUUUCCUGUUGAUAAAAUGAGACUGUCAGGCCUCUGAGCCCAAGCCUGCACAUAUACAUCCAGAUGGCCUGAAGCAAGUAAAGAAUCACAAAAGAAGUGAAAAUGGCCGGUUCCUGCCCUAACUGAUGACAUUACCUUGUGAAAUUCCUUCUCCUGGC